rnacentral:lncRNA from 1 species
UCAUAUUCAAUCAGUCGUAACAACAAUUUCCUUUUUUAUCAGCCUACUGGUAUCCAUAGAGAUUCAUAGGGAUGUCACUACAAUGUGUGAACUUUUAUUCAACCAUUUUAACUAACAGACUGUCCCCAUAUCCCGUCCGAUAUGAGCACCAAAAGAUACUAUCACUCAAUAUCUCGUCCGGUAUGAGGGUGAAACGGAUCGUUCCUAUACCUCGUCCGGUAUGAGUGUCAAAAUACAAAUUCUCGAUACCCCGUCCAGUAUGAGCCAACGUUCACGGUAGGAUUCUCUAUUUAUUUGCUCCGUCCACCAUCUAUCAGGAUAUCCAGUAAGGCUACCAUUCAUCCAUUCACUCAAUCAAACAAUUUUCCAUUUACCUUUAAUUUUCACUUUCUCAAUUAAUUGUAAAUAAUGUAAAACAAGCAAUAUAUGUAUCAAAGAAACACAAUCGAAUUAUCAUACCAAUUCCAGUAUAUUAUAAUGCAUUCGAAACUGUAAAAUCAAUCAAUCUGUUAAACAUGCAAACAAUAAUAAAUAACCGAUUCCGCCUAUAUUAGUAACCUUUAAUUAUCGAUACUUUUAGAUUAUGCAAAAUACCAUAUUAUUUAUAAUUAAAUUUCAAUUCUAUAACAGGAAAUAAGGUGAGAAAUUUUUACCUGAAUUGGUGUCUGAAUAUUAAACUUUUGACUGCGCCUACUGGCGGUCUCCGGGUUUCCUGAAUUUUCCUUCGGAGAUUAAAACAUGCUUCAAGUACUUAGAAAUGCCCCAAAACCCAAAAUCGGUGUUAAUAAUCAUUUUCAGCCAAUUUCAAGAUUUCGGCACAGAGUCGCUGCCAUGCUCCGGAGACGACGGUUUGCCUCGGGUUGGCCAUUUUCAACCAGUUUCGGCUGAUUUUUGUAUUCCUCCCUGCGAGAAAGCAUGUUAAGAGGCAUCGAUUGGCCGAAAAAAAUAAAAAAACAGAGGCUUAUCAACAGUAGGGUUUCCGGCGCGGCAGUUCCGCCGGCUCACUUUUGCGGUUGGGUGUUUUGCUUCAGUCAAACUUUAAAAAAAAAAGAAUGCUUAUUACAAUGGUGGAAAAAUUGCAUGGAACGGGAAUUGGGAAGGGCCUCAUCGGAGGCAAUUUUUGUUUUUUCCCACGGUGGCACCGCCAGACUUUACUUGCGAUUUUCGGCUCAUCUACCAGUUCUUUUGCUCCGAUUUGGGCAUGAGGGUAUUCAAAAUCGAAUUUCAAGCAAAUAAGAUUUUUUUUACCUCUUUUGGCGGUCGGAGGUGGCUCCAACAUAGCGGCCGGAGGUGGUCGGCUCUCUUUCCGGCGACUGGUUCUUCUUCUCCGGCGGGGGGAUAUGAUGGCUAGGGGUAGGGUUAGGGUUUGGUGUGAAGUAGAGUAUUUAUAUCUGUUUUCUUUUAAUGUAAGCCGUCCAUCGCAUUUGAUAUGGACCGUCCGAUCGCGUUUAAAUAGGAAGUGAAUCUGGACCGUUCAUCGCGAUUUGAUUUGGACUGUCCGAUCGCGUUUAAAUAAGAAGUGAAUCUGAACCAUUCAUCGCGAUUUGAUCUGAACCGUAUGAUCGUGUUUAAAGAAAAAACAGAUUCGGACCGUCCACACGCGCGAGAACAAAUUCGGAUCGUCCGAUCGCGGUCACGCAGAUUGCUAGUGUGGCCUUCCGCUUGGCACCACGCUAGCGUGCCUUGCCACGCAGCGUACUCCGAUUUGUCGGGAUUGCUGACUAGACGUCUUACAUGACACUUUUUUCUUAAAUUGCGUUUUAACCUUCAGUUUCUGAUUUUUCUUUCAAAAAUACCAUCAGAACCCAAAUUUUCACAUUUUUUUUUCAAAAUUAUUUUCAAUUUCAUCAUCCACCUAUUUUUUUUCAUUUUUACAUUAAAUAAAAAUUCAAAAAUUUAAAUUAUAUUUAUACAUUAAUUUUAAAUAUAUUAAAAUUAAUUAAGAGUAUUACAGAACUUGAAUCACAAUAUUGCAUUAAAGGAUACCCAAUAGAUGGUGGCCAUGGAAGAGGAAUUAAAGGUGGCCAUACCUUGUCACUAGUUCCCUUGCCACAAAGUAUGAAUGUUUUUAGGUCAAAAUAGAUUCAUCGUAUUAAGCAACGAGAGGAUGGCUCUGUUUAAACUAUUCUUUAAAGUGUUCAAAAUGAUCUAAUCAGUUUCAGCUUUUUCCAUUAUAAGAAAAUAAAAGAAAACUGAGCGUUUGAAAUAAAUGAAAAACAUUAACGACUAAAUUAUAAUAAAAAAACAUUAAAGACUAAGUUGUAACUAGUGUAAAACUUUGAGCACUAAUUCAGUAAGUUAACUAUAUUACAAGUACUAGGCUUCCUUUGGCACAAAGUUUUCAUAGUUAUUAUUCUCUAAAUUUAAUAUCAUUUAUACAUAUUUUAUUAUGUAUUUGCAUGAUAACUGAGAAAAAAAUCUUUGUUCCCUAUAUAAUUGCAUUAACAACGCUUUUUUUUCAACCAAAUUCAUUUUAUAUUUUCAUUCUACUUUCGACACAUUCUCGUUUCCAGCUAUUAUACUCACACAUGUUUUCAAGUAUAGAUACAGGAAUCUAAGAAAUGAUAAAAAAUUAUUUUCAUUUCCUAAACAGAACCUUGUUAUCUAUCUUUAAAUUCAAUCAUCCUCCUCAUAGUGAAAAAAUCAAAGUUUACAUCAUCCAAUAGGCUUAAAUUUCUUAAGUGAAAAGAAUCUAUCAUCUAUUUGUAAGCCCAUUAUGUGACAAGGAAUAGUUGACAAAAACCUUGGAAAAGCAAACAUCCUGGGCCAGAAACAGCAACAAGCUAAAAGGAUCUCAAGGAUGGGACCUUUUUUCUCUAGGAAAAUCAUGAGGGCAUGCCUUGAGUUCAAUGAAUCAUCACCUAAUCAUUCGACUUGGUGGCUCCUUGAUAAAUUUUGAUUUAAUGCAGUUGCACCUAAUUAUUGCAUGGCAUUAAUGCUUAAUUAAAUCGUACGACUUAUUGGCUUGUGUUGAAAUGUAGUUCUCUUUGUUCAUAACCUGGCUGUCACCCAAGUAUUCUGUACCUACUGAUGAUCUCUACCUGUUAACAGCUAAAACUAGGAUCAACACAAAGUCUGCUUCCCAAUUUCAUGUCAUAGCCAUGACUAUAAAUAAUUCUUUGCUCAGCAAACUUUCUAUAAGCCAAAAGGAAUAAGAAAAAAAAAUCAUAUCAACAUAAUUAGCCUAUUGAGUNNN